rnacentral:lncRNA from 1 species
UACAUAAUUGUCUGGAAUUUACUAGGACCAUCAUCUGCUUCCAUAUCAUGUCUCAUUCAUCAUGCAUUCCAGCAACUUAAGAUGAACAGCAGAAACGUUACCAUUCUUGAAUAAUGUUAACGAGCUUGGUACAGAUAUAACGCAUAAUGCAUCGUUCGUGCAGAUCCAUGCAGAUGAAUUCAGAACAUAAUGAUGCCAGAACUCCGAAGAUAAACUAAGAUGCAAUAGACAAUUCUAGCGCAUACCAAAUAACUAUUCGAAUCAUCCACAUUUGGGAAUCCAGUAAGUAACUGCUGCCCGCUCCCAGAGCCAUACGGCACAUCGAGCGAAUGCAACCGAAACGUCGUCCUCUAGUGCAUCAGCUUAACCACACUACCAUAAGUAAUAUUCCAAACAAAGGGAGAAAACAAGUUAGAAAACAUAUAUGACGAGACAAUCUAGGGUGAGGAUGAGAUCCACCAACCUCGACGCCCUCUUCGCCUCCGCGGGGAACUCAAGGCCGAAGUAAAGGAAGAUAGAGAGGGCGAAUUAGGAGAAGGCCAUGAGGAGGAGGAGG